CAGUCGAGCGGAGAUGAGGUGCUUGCACCUUAUCUUAGCGGCGGACGGGUGAGUAAUGCUUAGGAAUCUGCCUAUUAGUGGGGGACAACAUUCCGAAAGGAAUGCUAAUACCGCAUACGCCCUACGGGGGAAAGCAGGGGAUCUUCGGACCUUGCGCUAAUAGAUGAGCCUAAGUCGGAUUAGCUAGUUGGUGGGGUAAAGGCCUACCAAGGCGACGAUCUGUAGCGGGUCUGAGAGGAUGAUCCGCCACACUGGGACUGAGACACGGCCCAGACUCCUACGGGAGGCAGCAGUGGGGAAUAUUGGACAAUGGGCGGAAGCCUGAUCCAGCCAUGCCGCGUGUGUGAAGAAGGCCUUUUGGUUGUAAAGCACUUUAAGCGAGGAGGAGGCUACUUAGAUUAAUACUCUAGGAUAGUGGACGUUACUCGCAGAAUAAGCACCGGCUAACUCUGUGCCAGCAGCCGCGGUAAUACAGAGGGUGCGAGCGUUAAUCGGAUUUACUGGGCGUAAAGCGUGCGUAGGCGGCUGAUUAAGUCGGAUGUGAAAUCCCUGAGCUUAACUUAGGAAUUGCAUUCGAUACUGGUCAGCUAGAGUAUGGGAGAGGAUGGUAGAAUUCCAGGUGUAGCGGUGAAAUGCGUAGAGAUCUGGAGGAAUACCGAUGGCGAAGGCAGCCAUCUGGCCUAAUACUGACGCUGAGGUACGAAAGCAUGGGGAGCAAACAGGAUUAGAUACCCUGGUAGUCCAUGCCGUAAACGAUGUCUACUAGCCGUUGGGGUCUUU
rnacentral:rRNA from 1 species